ACAACACAAAGGGUAUAUGGCACUAGUAACUAAUUAUUCGUGAAUUGGACGACAACCUGAUGGAAUUUCAAUAACCCUGAUGUCACACAGUGUAAGAAUUUGUCUGGUUUUCCGUAAAUAGAUCUUUGUCUAGUCUUUUCUCAAGUUAUGAAUCACUGGAUCUUCAGUUUCAAUCUCCGAAGAAAAAUCACAUUUGGGAUACAUAUAGUAAGAACUUAACAAGUAUAGAAGACUAGAGAAAUGCAAGUUGGUUCAAGAAUCGAGAAUAAUCAGUUCAUAUCAAAGGGACGUAAGACCAGGAGUCAAUGUUGGCUCAUGACUCGGGAU
rnacentral:lncRNA from 1 species